UUUAAAGAGAGUUUGAUCCUGGCUCAGGACGAACGCUGGCGGCGUGCCUAAUACAUGCAAGUCGAACGAAUAGAGGAAGAGCUUGCUCUUCCGAUGUUAGUGGCGGACGGGUGAGUAACACGUGGGCAACCUGCCUGUAAGUUGGGGAUAACUCCGGGAAACCGGGGCUAAUACCGAAUGAUAAG
rnacentral:rRNA from 1 species